UGGGGAAUAUUGCACAAUGGGCGAAAGCCUGAUGCAGCAACGCCGCGUGAAGGAAGAAGGGUUUCGGCUCGUAAACUUCUAUCAACAGGGACGAAGGAAGUGACGGUACCUGAAUAAGAAGCCCCGGCUAACUACGUGCCAGCAGCCGCGGUAAUACGUAGGGGGCAAGCGUUAUCCGGAAUUACUGGGUGUAAAGGGUGAGUAGGCGGCAUGGUAAGCCAGAUGUGAAAGCCUUGGGCUUAACCCGAGGAUUGCAUUUGGAACUAUCAAGCUAGAGUACAGGAGAGUAAAGCGGAAUUCCUAGUGUAGCGGUGAAAUGCGUAGAUAUUAGGAAGAACACCAGUGGCGAAGGCGGCUUUCUGGACUGAAACUGACGCUGAGGCACGAAAAGCGUGGGGAGCGAACAGGAUUAGAUACCC
rnacentral:rRNA from 1 species